GUGCCAGCAGCCGCGGUAAUACGUAGGGUGCGAGCGUUGUCCGGAAUUACUGGGCGUAAAGGGCUCGUAGGUGGUUUGUCGCGUCGUCUGUGAAAUUCCGGGGCUUAACUCCGGGCGUGCAGGCGAUACGGGCAUAACUUGAGUGCUGUAGGGGAGACUGGAAUUCCUGGUGUAGCGGUGGAAUGCGCAGAUAUCAGGAGGAACACCGAUGGCGAAGGCAGGUCUCUGGGCAGUAACUGACGCUGAGGAGCGAAAGCAUGGGUAGCGAACAGGAUUAGAUACCCUGGUAGUCCAUGCCGUAAACGGUGGGCGCUAGGUGUGAGUCCCUUCCACGGGGUUCGUGCCGUAGCUAACGCAUUAAGCGCCCCGCCUGGGGAGUACGGCCGCAAGGCUAAAACUCAAAGGAAUUGACGGGGGCCCGCACAAGCGGCGGAGCAUGUGGAUUAAUUCGAUGCAACGCGAAGAACCUUACCUGGGCUUGACAUACACCGGAUUGGGCUAGAGAUAGUCUUUCCCUUUGUGGCUGGUGUACAGGUGGUGCAUGGUUGUCGUCAGCUCGUGUCGUGAGAUGUUGGGUUAAGUCCCGCAACGAGCGCAACCCUUGUCUUAUGUUGCCAGCAUUUGGUUGGGGACUCAUGAGAGACUGCCGGGGUCAACUCGGAGGAAGGUGGGGAUGACGUCAAAUCAUCAUGCCCCUUAUGUCCAGGGCUUCACACAUGCUACAAUGGUCGGUACAACGCGCAGCGACACUGUGAGGUGGAGCGAAUCGCUGAAAGCCGGCCUUAGUUCGGAUUGGGGUCUGCAACUCGACCCCAUGAAGUCGGAGUCGCUAGUAAUCGCAGACCAGCAAUGCUGCGGUGAAUACGUUCCCGGGCCUUGUACACACCGCCCGUCACGUCAUGAAAGUUGGUAACACCCGAAGCCGGUGGCCCAAACUUGUUAGGGAGCCGUCGAAGGUGGGAUCGGCGAUUGGGACGAAGUCGUAACAAGGUA
rnacentral:rRNA from 1 species